GCCUAAUACAUGCAAGUAGAACGCUGAAGGAGGAGCUUGCUCUUCUGGAAGAGUUGCGAACGGGUGAGUAACGCGUAGGUAACCCGCCUGGUAGCGGGGGAUAACUAUUGGAAACGAUAGCUAAUACCGCAUAAGAUUGAAUAUCGCAUGAUAAUUGAUUAAAAGAUGCAAAUGCAUCACUACCAGAUGGACCUGCGUUGUAUUAGCUAGUAGGUGAGGUAACGGCUCACCUAGGCGACGAUACAUAGCCGACCUGAGAGGGUGAUCGGCCACACUGGGACUGAGACACGGCCCAGACUCCUACGGGAGGCAGCAGUAGGGAAUCUUCGGCAAUGGGGGCAACCCUGACCGAGCAACGCCGCGUGAGUGAAGAAGGUUUUCGGAUCGUAAAGCUCUGUUGUAAGAGAAGAACGAGUGUGAGAGUGGAAAGUUCACACCGUGACGGUAUCUUACCAGAAAGGGACGGCUAACUACGUGCCAGCAGCCGCGGUAAUACGUAGGUCCCGAGCGUUGUCCGGAUUUAUUGGGCGUAAAGCGAGCGCAGGCGGUUAGAUAAGUCUGAAGUUAAAGGCUGUGGCUUAACCAUAGUACGCUUUGGAAACUGUUUAACUUGAGUGCAGAAGGGGAGAGUGGAAUUCCAUGUGUAGCGGUGAAAUGCGUAGAUAUAUGGAGGAACACCGGUGGCGAAAGCGGCUCUCUGGUCUGUAACUGACGCUGAGGCUCGAAAGCGUGGGGAGCGAACAGGAUUAGAUACCCUGGUAGUCCACGCCGUAAACGAUGAGUGCUAGGUGUUAGGCCCUU
rnacentral:rRNA from 1 species